UACGGGGGGGGCAAGCGUUGUUCGGAAUUACUGGGCGUAAAGGGCUCGUAGGCGGCCAACUAAGUCCGACGUGAAAUCCCCAGGCUUAACCUGGGAACUGCGUCGGAUACUGGAUGGCUUGAAUUCGGGAGAGGGAUGCAGAAUUCCAGGUGUAGCGGUGAAAUGCGUAGAUAUCUGGAGGAAUACCGGUGGCGAAGGCGGCAUCCUGGACCGACAUUGACGCUGAGGAGCGAAAGCUAGGGGAGCGAACGGG
rnacentral:rRNA from 1 species